rnacentral:rRNA from 1 species
UACGUAGGGUGCAAGCGUUAAUCGGAAUUAUUGGGCGUAAAGGGCGCGUAGGCGGCCUGGCAAGUGGAUGGUGAAAUCCCUCGGCUUAACCGAGGAACUGCCAUCCAGACUGCUUGGCUUGAGACCGGGAGAGGUGAGUGGAAUUCCCAGUGUAGCGGUGAAAUGCGUAGAUAUUGGGAGGAACACCAGUGGCGAAGGCGGCUCACUGGACCGGUACUGACGCUGAGGCGCGAAAGCGUGGGUAGCAAACAGG